rnacentral:misc_RNA from 1 species
AUAAAAUAAAAAUCUAACUACAAUAUCGCCAUAUGGGUCCCACAAUUAUUUUUUAUUUUAUUUGCAAGUGUCCCACAAUAUAUUUAAAAAAUUAACUUUUAAAUUGAAAAAUAGCACCACGUCAAUAGCACUAAUGAUAAUUGGGUGUUCGGACCUUAGCAUUCGCUUCUUAAUCAAACCUAUAUUACCCAUUCAUCAUCUAAAACACAUCUUCCAUCACUAAUCACCACCCCCAUCAUUAUCAUUUCCACAAUCUCAAGCAAUAAAUCCA